GAUGAACGCUGGCGGCGUGCUUAACACAUGCAAGUCGAACGGAAAGGCCCUGCUUUUGUGGGUUGCUCGAGUGGCGAACGGGUGUGUAACACGUGAGUAACCUGCCCUUGACUUUGGGAUAACUUCAGGAAACUGGGGCUCAUACCGGAUAGGAGCUCCUGCUGCAUGGUGGGGGUUGGAAAGUUUCGGCGGUUGGGGAUGGACUCGCGGCUUAUCAGCUUGUUGGUGGGGUAGUGGCUUACCAAGGCUUUGAGGGGUAGCCGGCCUGAGAGGGUGACCGGCCACAUUGGGACUGAGAUACGGCCCAGACUCCUACGGGAGGCAGCAGUGGGGAAUAUUGCAGAAUGGGCGGAAGCCAGAUGCAACAACGCCGCGUGCGGGAUGACGGCUUUCGGGUUGUAAACCGCUUUCGCCUGUGACGAGGCGUGAGUGACGGUAAUGGGUAAAGAAGCACCGGCUAACUACGUG
rnacentral:rRNA from 1 species